GAUGAAGAACGUAGCGAAAUGCGAUAAGUAAUGUGAAUUGCAGAAUUCAGUGAAUCAUCGAAUCUUUGAACGCACCUUGCGCUCCUUGGUAUUCCGAGGAGCAUGCCUGUUUGAGUGUCAUUAAUAUAUCAACCUUCUCUUUUUUGAGUUGUUUGGAUGUGGGGGUUUGCUGGCCUCUUAAAUGAUUCAGCUCCCCUGAAAUGCAUUAGCAGAACAACCUGUUCAUUAGCGUGAUAAUUAUCUAUGCUAUUGAAUGUGAGGGCAGUUCAGCUGUCUAACCGUCCUUGGACAAUUCAUCAUUAAUGUGACCUCAAAUCAGGUAGGACUACCCGCUGAACUUAAGCAUAUCAAUAAGCGGAGGA
rnacentral:misc_RNA from 1 species